GCCCCCGUAGCUCAGUGGACAGAGCGCAGGCCUCCGGAGCCUGAGGCGCAGGUUCGAUUCCUGCCGGGGGCGCGA
rnacentral:tRNA from 1 species